rnacentral:rRNA from 1 species
UACGUAGGGCGCAAGCGUUAUCCGGAAUUAUUGGGCGUAAAGCGCUCGUAGGCGGUUCGGUAAGUCGGGUGUGAACCUCCAGGCUACCAACCGUGGUGACGCCACCCGAUACUGCCAUGACUUGAGUUCGGUAGGGGAGGCGGGGAAUUCCUGGUGUAGCGGUGAAAUGACGCAGAUAUCAGGAGGAACACCGGUGGCGAAGGCGCCGCUCUGGGCCAAACUGACGCUGAGGAGCGAAAGCGUGGGGAGCGAACAGG